rnacentral:rRNA from 1 species
CCUACGGGAGGCAGCAGUGAGGAAUAUUGGUCAAUGGACGAGAGUCUGAACCAGCCAAGUAGCGUGAAGGAUGACUGCCCUAUGGGUUGUAAACUUCUUUUAUAUGGGAAUAAAAUGUUCCACGUGUGGGAUUUUGUAUGUACCAUAUGAAUAAGGAUCGGCUAACUCCGUGCCAGCAGCCGCGGUAAUACGGAGGAUCCGAGUGUUAUCCGGAUUUAUUGGGUUUAAAGGGAGCGUAGGUGGAUUGGUAAGUCAGUUGUGAAAGUUUGCGGCUCAACCGUAAAAUUGCAGUUGAAACUGGCAGUCUUGAGUACAGUAGAGGUGGGCGGAAUUCGUGGUGUAGCGGUGAAAUGCUUAGAUAUCACGAAGAACUCCGAUUGCGAAGGCAGUUCACUGGACUGCAACUGACACUGAGGCUCGAAAGUGUGGGUAUCAAACAGGAUUAGAUACCCUUGUAGUC